rnacentral:rRNA from 1 species
CCUACGGGAGGCUGCAGUGGGGAAUAUUGGACAAUGGGCGCAAGCCUGACCCAGCAACGCCGCGUGAAGGAAGAAGGCUUUCGGGUUGUAAACUUCUUUUCUCAGGGACGAAAAAAGUGACGGUUCCUUAGGAAUAAGCCACUGCUAACUACGUGCCAGCAGCCGCGGUAAUACGGAGGUGGCAAGCGUUAUCCGGAUUUAGUGGGUGUAAAGGGCGCGUAGGCGGGAGCGCAAGUCAGAAGUGAAACCCCAGGGCUCAACCCUGAGCCUGCAUUUGAAACUGUGUUUCUGGAGUGCUGGAGAGGCAAUCGGAAUUCCGGGUGUAGCGGUGAAAUGCGUAGAUAUACGGAGGAACACCAGUGGCGAAGGCGGAUUGCUGGACAGUAACUGACGCUGAGGCGCGAAGGCGUGGGGAGCAAACAGGAUUAGAUACCCCAGUAGUC